rnacentral:lncRNA from 1 species
UUUUGAAUAAAUUAAAUCUUAAACUUUUUAACCUAUCACGUUUCAAAUCUUUCGCCAAUUUCAAUUUAUAUAGUUAAACGACAACAAUUGUUCCCACAAAAAUGAUUGAGAAAACGAUGUCCAGUGAAUUGGGACCCUUUUAAUAGUUUUAAUUUCCGCAAUUAGGACACUUAUCUAAUUGGUGUCGUCAAACUAUAUAAAUGAAAGCUAAUGGCGUUCUUAAUUGGUGUUGUUUUUUUAAAAGAAAAUAAUUUUUUUUGCUUUUUUUAAGUUCAAUAGUUAUUUUUUAGAAACUACUCAACUCAUGCUUCUCAACUUCUACUUCUACCUAUUACUCAAUCAUAAAAGCAAAAUAACAAAAUAUCUCGUACUUGUUUGACCUAAUUAUAAAUAUACCUUCAUAAAUAACAAACCAAUUCGACUCUCUUUAUUUUUUGAUCAUUCUCUCUCUUAUCCAUCUCCGUACUGAAGACCUACCCUACACUAAAGCCACUAUUCCUUUAUCUGCCAUUGUAUCCGACCGUCAAUUAGCCACCGAUCACCGUUUAAUAAUUUUAUUUUAUUUUUGUUAAAUUUUUAUGAGCAUAUAGUGUUUUUUUGCUUGGUAAUGUAACUGUUUUUUUGAGCAACUUCUAACUACAAAAAUAUACAUUUUGAAUGUUUUCAAUUACGUUUUUUUUUAACAUAAAUGAACUUUUUAAGCUAUUUUUAGGGCCAUUUUUGAAGUUACUAAACUCAUGCUUUUUAGUUUUUGUUUCUAUCUAUUACUCAAUUAUAAAAGCAAAAUGACAAAAUACUUCAUACUUAAUUAACCAACUAGUUUUUCAAUUGGAGAUUAUAUGCCGAACUAGUUUUUUAAUUAACAAAUAUUCUUGGAUCAUGAAGAUGGUGAAAGAUUGCAUUGCCGUUUUGAUUAAGAAUAUGGAACGUUUGAAAACCUUGGUAAGUAUUUUGUUAAAAGCACAAUGUCAUACCCUGCAGUUUUUUCAGGCAACUAGUUAAUGCGGUCGAAGUAUACAAACAUUUGGUUUAAAUUGUAAUGGUUAAAAAAUAUGAGAUCUAAUUUAUUUAAAUUGAAAAUAUGAGUUAAUUUUGUCACUAAAUUUAAACCUUGGGUUUAAUAUGUAAUUUCGUAAUCAAAGACACUUGCACAAAUUAUAUAGGCAGCGGAAGAAAUGCUAAUUUUAAUUUCAAACAAACCUUCCCAAUCUUUUUUUCCUAAUUCCAUUAAAUGUUGGUUGGAGUUAAAUUUUGCUGGAACCUGUAAAUUCACCUAAUGUAUAGGGAAAUGUGACGCCGUCUCAACAAUUGAGGUGCUUUCCCUGUGGCUACUUAGUUGGAGGUCUAAGCUUUUUGUGCUUGGAUUCUCCUAGACUAUGCCUUGAUGCUCUCUCUCUUUUUUCCCCCUUUUCUCCGGGCAAUUGAGGUGUAAUUUUGAUUAAUCGGUGAAAAUAAUUUACUAAAGAUAAAUAAAAGGUGAAAAGCAAAAUAGAUAAAAAAAAAUUAUCCCAAAUAGAAAGAAAAAUGAUUUUCAUACGUUCAUUUUCUUUAAUUGUAUUUUUCUUAUGUUUAUUGAAAUUAAAUUAUGCAAUUAUCGUAAUAAAAAUAUUUGAGUAAAAAUAAAUAUUUAAAUAAAUUUAUCAUAAUAAGGACAACAAAAUCUAUAAUAUAUGACACAAGUAUUUUUGAAUCUUUCAAAUUAUCUCUCACUAUUUACGGAUGAGAUCUAUUUGAGUUAAUACAAUGUCUGAAAUUUCACCUGAGACUAUUUUUUCUCCAAAAAAAAUAUCACUUCUUUUUUUCUCAAAGGUGUGUGUGGCCCACGUAGGUUGUAAAAAUCACAUGGUCAAACUAGCAACACUUUUUCAAAAUCAUUAUAUUUUUUAAUUUAUUCUUUAUUUUGUAGUAAUCUAUCUCUUAUAUGACGUUUAUAUCUUAUAUGUUUUUUAGGUUAUACAAAUUUUAAUGCACACGGAUGCGAUUUUUUUUUUUUUUACAUAAUGUCCGUGUGCACGGAUAAUUACUAACAGCUUAAUAUGAUCAAUUUAAUUGGUUUAGUAUUUUUCUUACAUCCCUAGGACUUGGGUUUGAUCGGAGAUUAUAUGCCGAAUAAAUUUUUUAAUUAGUAAAUAUUUUUGAACCAUAGAGAUGGCGGAAGAUUGUGUUGCCGUUUUGAUUAAGAAUAUAGGACUUCUGAAAAACCAUGGUAAGAAUAUAUCCUGCAGUUUUUUCAGCCAGUUAGUUAAUGCGGUUUCAGCCAGUUAGUUAAUGGGGUCAAAUGAUACAAUCAUUUGGUUUGAAUCGUAAUGGUUAAAAAAUAUGAGAUUUAAUUUCUUAAAUUGAAAAUAUAAAGUUAAUUUUGUCACCAAGUUUAAACUUUGGGGUUUAAUUUGUAAUUUCUCAAAAAAAAAGCAUUAAAAGUUAGAACUCAAAUCCAAUACCAAUCGGAGGCCGAUUCACUUUUGGGUUCUCUCUUGGCAAUUGCGAACUGCGAAGGCGACGUGAUUCUAGGGUUUGCGACGAGAAGAAGAUGAAAUCGGGAGCGACGAUCUGUGUGGAUGCUGAGCCCUAUUUGAGGGUGAAGGAGGAAGUGGAGGAAAAACAUGGCCUUCAAAUUGUUGGCGAAGGCGACGAGUAUUGCCUGAAGCAAAGCGACGAAAUAAGUGGAAUCGUAACGACGACCUUUUUGGGAUCCUGGAUGAUGUGGCUAAGCCCCUUUCGAGAGUGAAGGAGGAAGUGGAGGAAAAUCACGGCCUUCGAAUUGGGGGCGAUGCUAUGUUUUAUGCUCAUAUUCUUAUCGGAGGAAAGUUUGGAGAAUGUCAAAUUGGUAACUGUUAAUUCUCUCGUCUAUUACAUCUGUUGCUAUCCGUAUGUAAUCAAAUUUUGUUGUUGCUGCUGCUGCUGUUGUUAAAUCUCGUCUUUUCAUAAUUUCGGUUGAUUUUGGAGCUAUUCGUAGCCAUGGAUGGACGCAGACCUUGGGGCGGAUGGACAUACAUGGACGAAAAACUUGUGUCGAUUGCCUGAACAAAUUAUAUCAAUCUAGUAGAGUGCUAUUUUGUACAUCCACCUGGGUGAAUAUUACCCCAUUUAGAAUAGUAGACCCCGCAAUUUAGCCAUCACAGAUAGGAUAUUGAUGUGGGUGAACAAAAUAGCACUCACAUAAUUAAACUGAAACAUUAGAAGAAGAGGAAGAAUGAGAAGCUAAAAAACCUUUAGCUUGGUGGAUAUGACAAUGAAAAAGAUCUCCCCUGACAUGAGAUUCUUUCGUCAUUUGGCAUAAUUUUCUAAUAGAAAAGUUUAUCUGUUGGCCGAGUUUUUUUUCUAUCUGUGAAGACUGGCAGAACACGCUAUGGCCCGAUAUUUUCGUCAGGUGUUUAUCUGGGAUUUUCCUACCUUUGGAGAUUGGAUGCCUCCGUGCAUUCGCUUUGCACGGCAGAUUAGUUUUGUCAUUUCUAGCCCAAACCCACAAUUUAGAAGGUCGCCUUCUUUAUAAAAAAAUUGUCAAAGGGAAACAUAUGUAUCAUUUUUUGUUAGGCUUGAACAAAAAUCUCGAUGAAUUAGAGGACGACUUAUGGGCUUAAAAACCUCUGCCGCACCUCAGAGAGGCAUUUUAUGAACUCCGUCGUGAAAAAUUCGAAAAAAGCUCGUGAUGGGACCCCAUCAACAACUGAAAUAGGCAAGAAAGCUCUGUUUUUAAAACUCAUAUUCACUCCUUCUAAAACCGUCAAAAAUAAAGGAGGAAGGCCUUGGUGUGAUCAGUGUGGAAAGCCAGGUCACUCAAUAGAAACUUUCCAGAAUAUUCAUGAAAAAACAGCAGAUUGGAAGCCAUAUCAACUACUUGAGAAAGAAAGAUGUCCUUUUAUGUCAGCGUAGUCACAAACUGGUUCGUCUUCAAACAAUGUCAUUGAUUCCGGAACCUUGGCUCACAAAGGUAAUUCUUUAAGUGCCUUUAUUAUUGGUAAGAAAUUUAAAAAAUUUUGGAUCAUGGACUCGAGAGCAUCUGAUCAUAUGAGGGGAGAUAUAACAAUUUUUUAUAUAUAUAGCUUAUGUCCAAAUAAUCUAACGGUCCGAAUAGCGAAGGUUACCGAUAUAGGUUCAGUUGUGCUAUCACAGGAUCUUAAUCUCAACUCUGUUCUUCUUGUUCCUAACUUGGACUAUAAUCUAUUGUCAAUUAGUAAACUUACUAAAGAAAGGAGGCAUGUUACUAAUUUUUUCUCCAUUCACUAUGAAUUUUAGGAUUUGGAUUCGAGGAAGACGAUUGGCAAUGCUGAGGAAUACUCCAGACUCUCCAUCCUUAAGGAUCGCAACUAUCCACAAGAACAAUCUCAAACGACAUUUAGUGGUAUUCUUUGUUUUUAUUUGUGUCAAAAUAACGAUAGUGCAAUCAUGUUUGGCACUAUCAGUUAGGCCUCCUAAUGUUAUGCAUCUCACGCUUUAUUUUCUUCAUUAUUAUUCCUCCCCAAUCCCACCUCCUUUUUCUUUUUCCCUCUUUCCCUUCUCCCCUCCCCGACCCCCUCCGUUUCUUUCUUCAUUUUUCAUUCACCCCCUAUAAAGCUCUAAUCUUCUCAAUGAUUCCAUAGCGAUAUAUGGGGCUGUCCAGAUAAAAAAUUUAACUGGUUCUAUGUGGUUUUGGUCUCCUUAAUAUAUUAUCACACUAGAUUAACCUGGGCAUUCCUCAUGAAAGAAAUUUUGAAACGGGUUCAAAUCUUCAAAAAAUUUAAAAAUAUGAUUUAACUCAAUUUUAGUCAAAAAUACAAAUUCUAAAGCUAAUAACGCUAAUGAUUAUUUCAACUCUAUUCUAAGUUCAUUUCUAGAAAAAAAAAAAAAAAAAUAAAAGAGAGGAUAAUUCACUCCAAGUUUCCAUGUGUAGAUACACCAUAACAAAACGGAAUCGCUGGAAAAAAAAUAGGCAUUUGUCAAGGUGCGAGAUCGUAAUGUGUUUUUUUUUCUCCACAAAUGUUCCAAAAUUAUUCUGGGGGGAAGUUGUACUUUGGUGGCCUACUCAUCAUAGGAUUGCCGUAUAAGGUACAAACAUUCCCAAUGCUUUGUCAAAAGCGCUUAAAUCAUUUUUGAUACUCAUCGUUAUCUUCACCAUCCAAAUUUUUGGGUGGCUCAGUCUUUGUUCAUGUCCAUCAAUAGUAUACGAAGUAAAUUUGAAAUCAUAGUGUCACUCAAAUGCAUCUUUUCUUUGGUAUCUUCAAAUCAAAAAGGUACAAGUGUUACCUUCGUCACAAGAAAAAUCUCAACUAUAUCCCAAUUCUUUGGCAGUAUCGAAUGACAAUUUUUUUUUGCCAAUGUCAGUGGUCAGCGAGUGACAAGCGACGACCAUGACAUAUUAUUUUCUGCCUCCAUUUUUUGUAGGUUGGUGCUGAGGUUUCUGGUGCCCGUUGAAGCUCCAUUGAUGUAGUCUUCUUUCUCCUUUCCCCGUAUGAACAAGUAAGAUGACUAGACCAUUGUAAAUAAUUUUGUCCAUUCAGUUUAUGGGAGGAUCCCUGAAGAUAAGAGGUUUCCUCUAUAAAGGAUGAAGAUGAUGAGAUGUGCUAUCAGAAGAAGAGGAGGGUGAGUGGUAGCCAUUCGUAAGGUUGGAUCGUAUUUACGACAUGAAAUAGAAAAAGAGAAUCGAGUAGAAAAACUCGAACAUUGAUUGAAGAUGAAGAAAUUAUAUCAAUCUAGUAGAGUGCUAUUUUGUACAUCCACCUGGGUGAAUAUUACCCCAUUUAGAAUAGUAGACCCCGCAAUUUAGCCAAUCACAGAUAGGAUAUUGAUGUGGGUGAACAAAAUAGUACUCACAUAAUUAAACUGAAACAUUAGAAGAAGAGGAAGAAUGAGAAGCUAAAAAACCUUUAGCUUGGUGGACAUUAAUUUUUCAAAAAUUUCUCGGGUGGAAAAACUAUAUAAUUUGAAAAUAUUAGUAGCUUAUACUAUUAUUAUAAUGGGUUUUUACCUUGGGGUGGCGUUGGCGCCCUUCUAUCUCUAUCUCUCUCCCCUCAAUUCCUAAUUGUAGCCUUGUUGGUUUUAUUUUUCCCGUGACGCUUCAAUGGGUUUCGGUCCUGAUUCCAUUGUUGGUUGGGUUUUUUGAUGUUACUUUUUCUGGUUCUUCGAUUGGUGAUUACUGAUAUUUAUUUUUCCUUUUAUCUUAACCGUGAUGAUUUAUUUAUAUUGAAGAAGACAGUUUAAUGCUAGAGAGAUGCAGCAUAUCUCAAUGAAGCCUGUGAGUUGACACGAUCUAGAAUCUUAAGCAAUGAGGACGAGAAAGAGCUUGAUAGUGUUGAGCACAUUAUACGUCGGUCUUUGAUAGAAUACAACGAGCUGGUUAAGGAGAAGCAUCCGAUCUUCAAGCCUUGGUGGGAUCGUGUUAGCCGGGAACUUAAUGGUGCAGAAACUAAAUUGCUUUCUUUCAUGGAUUCAUGGAUGCCAAUUUCCGCGAUGCCACACGUAACUCCUGAAUUAGUCCAUGAGUGUCAGGCUGUUUGUGGUCUGCUUCACCUGGCCAUGGAAGCUAAGAACUUGUCUGGAAUUCCUAAGCUGCUCAGUGAGUUCAUUGACCUCCUCCACAAACUUGUGGGGGCCGAUUCCGAUUAAGUUUCAAAGACAAUUAGUGAAACUGUUGACAGCAUCAAGUAAGGAGGUAAAUUUACCAUAGUCCCCGUAGGCUGUCAAUAGAUGUUUGUGCUUGUUUCAAUUUUUUUUCUUGGGUUCCUUUGUUUUUGUUUGAUUUCCACUACUUGAAGUUCUAAUUUCAAUUCGUUGCAUUGGUAUAUAGGUUGCGAGGCCACCUUUCUGGCUUCCAAUUCCGUGGCUUCCUACUUUUUUCUGGGGAGUAUGCUGGGACCCAUCCUUGUACUGCUGCGUGAGAUGGUUUUGGGUCAGAUCACGUGACUAGUGCUAUGAUGAAACCAUGUUUUUCCGUCCUCGCUUGAAUACUUAUAAGCCAGGCGUGUUCCCAGAGGGUUUUCUCUUCUUGGGCGCCUACGUGGAUUGGUAAGGCGAACUUGCCAAAGCCAUCGCCGUGCAUCUAUAUGAUAAUGUUGGAACCGGCUAAUACGGGUGGACCUGUCAGAAUUCACAGAAUCUGCCUUGGGGAGACUUGUCGACCGCUGUGAGUUCUAUGCCGUACAGUGUUAUCUCUUUCGGCAAAAUUGAGAAGCCCCCUCCCUCGAUUUUGGACAUCCUCUUCAUAUUCUAAAUCAAGGUAGACUAAUUUGAUGGGCAAGGACGUAGCAUCGACUUCACUAAUACCAUGGUAUAUGACUUCAAAUGUGGGAGCAGAACAGCUCAAUUUGUUUUUGCAAAUGCUGCUUGCAUGAUUCGCGGAGUUUUUUUGGAAACAUGAUUGUUAACCUGAAGGGUAGCGGCCCUGAGCCGAGUAAUGAGAGUAGGAUUUUAUAGGUUUGAAAUCUCCUUUGUGGUUUUGUGUGGGAAUGCCGAGGGUUUCUUUUCAAGUGAUGACAAUCAAUAGUUUGGUGUCCAUAUGGCCUUUGCAGUCAAAAAAGUUCCUCA